UACGAGGGGAGCAAGCGUUGUUCGGAUUUACUGGGCGUAAAGGGCGCGUAGGCGGUCAGCACAAGUCAGUUGUGAAAUCUCCGGGCUUAACUCGGAAAGGUCAACUGAUACUGUGCGACUAGAGUGCAGAAGGGGCAACUGGAAUUCUCGGUGUAGCGGUGAAAUGCGUAGAUAUCGAGAGGAACACCUGCGGCGAAGGCGGGUUGCUGGGCUGACACUGACGCUGAUGCGCGAAAGCCAGGGGAGCGAACGGG
rnacentral:rRNA from 1 species